GAUGAACGUUGGCGGCGUGCCUAAUACAUGCAAGUCGAGCGAACAGAUAAGGAGCUUGCUCCUUUGACGUUAGCGGCGGACGGGUGAGUAACACGUGGGUAACCUACCUAUAAGACUGGGAUAACUUCGGGAAACCGGAGCUAAUACCGGAUAACAUUUGGAACCGCAUGGUUCUAAAGUGAAAGAUGGUUUUGCUAUCACUUAUAGAUGGACCCGCGCCGUAUUAGCUAGUUGGUAAGGUAACGGCUUACCAAGGCAACGAUACGUAGCCGACCUGAGAGGGUGAUCGGCCCCACUGGAACUGAGACACGGUCCAGACUCCUACGGGAGGCAGCAGUAGGGAAUCUUCCGCAAUGGGCGAAAGCCUGACGGAGCAACGCCGCGUGAGUGAUGAAGGGUUUUGGCUCGUAAAACUCUGUUAUUAGGGAAGAACAAACGUGUAAGUAACUGUGCACGUCUUGACGGUACCUAAUCAGAAAGCCACGGCUAACUACGUG
rnacentral:rRNA from 1 species